GUCCCUGUAGUUUAAUGGAUAGAACGGCCCCCUCCUAAGGGGUCGGUGCUGGUUCGAUUCCAGCCGGGGACGCCA
rnacentral:tRNA from 1 species